rnacentral:tRNA from 1 species
CCCCGCUUAGCUCAACGGUAGAGCGCACGGCUGUAGCCCGUGAGGUUGCUGGUUCAAAUCCGGCAGCGGGGA